ensembl:ncRNA K01A6.17 ncRNA
CAUGGAAAAAACACAAUGGUUAUCCCAGAGACACAGACAUUGGUCUUUCCCAUAACUUCAUUUCCAACAGGAAAAAACCCCACGAACCUUUCGGUCAAAAAUGAGAAGUCUCCACCUACUCCUCCCCCUACUUCUUUUCACUUUUUGUCAAAUGACUAGCUCGCACCUCUCACUUUUUUGGUGUUUUCUGCCAAAAAGUAAAAGUUGGUCA